CGUCCCAUUAGCUAGUUGGUGGGGUAAAGGACCACCAAGCCGACGAUGGGUAGCCGGCCUGAGAGGGCGACCGGCCACACUGGGACUGAGACACGGCCCAGACUCCUACGGGAGGCAGCAGUGGGGAAUCUUCCGCAAUGGGCGAAAGCCUGACGGAGCAACGCCGCGUGAGUGAUGAAGGCUUCGGGUCGUAAAACCCUGUGAGAUGGGAAGAAGCCGUUGCGUGCUAAUACCACGUCGCGGUGACAGUACCAUCAGAGGAAGCCGMGGCUAAUACGUGCC
rnacentral:rRNA from 1 species